CUUCAGAAACGAGCAGAGAAUUUCCCAGAGGAGAUGGGUUGAUUGAUUUGGUAUCAAGUUCUAGGGUUUGCAACAAUUUUUAGAUUCGAUUCAUAUUGUUGCAAAACAGACAAGGGAAAACUCGUCUUGCAAAGUACUACGUUCCUCUUGAAGAAUCUCAGAAGCACAAGGUUGAAUACGAGAAAAAAAGAUGGCUUCUCUAUCAAGUGAUGAUAACGUAGAUGAUAUCCGCACAUG